AGCGUAGGUGGCAAGGCAAGCCAGAAGUGAAAAACCCGGGGCUCAACCGCGGGGAUUGCUUUUGGAACUGUCAUGCUAGAGUGCAGGAGGGGUGAGCGGAAUUCCUAGUGUAGCGGUGAAAUGCGUAGAUAUUAGGAGGAACACCGGAGGCGAAGGCGGCUCACUGGACUGUAACUGACACUGAGGCUCGAAAGCGUGGGGAGCAAACA
rnacentral:rRNA from 1 species